rnacentral:lncRNA from 1 species
UUUAUUUCACGCACUAUUAUUAUUUUUAUAAAAAGCUUACAUUUUUUAUAUAUAAAAAAAGAUAAAAUUAUAAAACACAAAAUAAAAAAAAUCUUUGAGAUAAAAUGAAGACCAAAUAAAUGGGCAUGUUAUGAACCAAGUGACAAAAAAAAAGAUAAUAAUGAUUAAAAAAACAGAACAAUUAAAUAAAAUAUAAAAAAAAUUAAAAGCAAUUAAAAAUCCCUAA